UGGGGAAUAUUGGGCAAUGGGCGAAAGCCUGACCCAGCAACGCCGCGUGAAGGAAGAAGGCCUUCGGGUUGUAAACUUCUUUUGUCAGGGACGAAGGACGUGACGGUACCUGACGAAUAAGCAACGGCUAACUACGUGCCAGCAGCCGCGGUAAUACGUAGGUUGCAAGCGUUGUCCGGAUUUACUGGGUGUAAAGGGCGUGUAGGCGGAGAUGCAAGUUGGGAGUGAAAUCCAUGGGCUCAACCCAUGAACUGCUUUCAAAACUGUAUCCCUUGAGUAUCGGAGAGGCAAGCGGAAUUCCUAGUGUAGCGGUGAAAUGCGUAGAUAUUAGGAGGAACACCAGUGGCGAAGGCGGCUUGCUGGACGACAACUGACGCUGAGGCGCGAAAGCGUGGGGAGCAAACAGGAUUAGAUACCCUGGUAGU
rnacentral:rRNA from 1 species